GUGGCUGUAGCUCAGUGGUAGAGCGCUUGCCUCGUGUGCAUGAAGCACGGAGUUCAAUCCUCAGCGCCAUA
rfam:Ictidomys tridecemlineatus contig098039, whole genome shotgun sequence.